rnacentral:piRNA from 1 species
UGUUUGCACAGUCCUUAGUCCCAUCAAGAC